CACAUGGCUUGGAGUUUUGUGUCCCUGCAAUGUUCUUACCUGACACACUGCUAUAGCAUGUGGGAAAAUAGGCUUCAAACACACUGAAACACCACAGGAACAUGAUGGUUUCCUCUCUGUGUUCCUUGAGGGUCUUCAGUUUAUCUAGACUGCCUUUCAUUGCUAGGAUUGAAGUGAUAAUUAAAAGUUUAGAAUAUGGAUGUUAUAGUUAUCGUGUGUCUACAGAAGUGAGAAAAACACCUCAGGCCAAGGUGGCUUCCCCAGAGAUGUUCUUGCUCAGUUAUCUAAAAGAUGUUGCAGUUGGCAGUUCCUAUAUUUAAUUACAGCUUGAACAUCAUGCUAAUGGAAUACUGUUCUUCUCUUGCCCUCAGAUAUGUAGGUGCAAAGCUCCUUCUGCUGCUCUUUUUGAAGUUCCCAGUGGAGAUGCUCAGGAGCUGGCUCUUCUGGACACAGCUGGUGCUACAUCAGGAAGAUUCUCAGGAUGCUCUCAAUGGUUUACUCAGUGCCAGGUGCACCAAACUGCAUGUUAGCCCUCAACCUGCCAGGAAGGGCGUCAUCCAAGGAGCACAGCAGGAGGAUGACUCCCUGCCCUUUCUGUUUUUGUCUUCUUUCAAAGCCAUCUGCUUCUCCGACCUAUUUCAGAGCAUGGAAAUUCACAAGAGCACCUUGGGGAUUCAGCCAGUAUUAGAAAAAGAAUUUUGGUGGUGCAGCCCGACCAAAGGAACUGGGAAUGGCAGCUUUGGCCAUCAGCACUGGAGAUCUAAUCCAAAGUCUGGAUGCUGGCUUCAGACUUGGUCCUGUCUCUGUGGCAACCUGUGGCACCUGAUGAGAGGAUCUCUAGGAAGGAAUACCACAAUGAAACUGUUGCAUGGAUAAGAACCAAAAUUCCAGUCCAGACUGGAGCCUGCUGCAGGCUAAGGCACAGCACAGAGAAAUAAAUGCUUAGAAGGAUCAAACA
rnacentral:lncRNA from 1 species